ensembl:lncRNA
GCCGACCCACUUCAGUACUGGGAAGAACAUCCUAAUCUGUUUCCCUCUAUGGCUGCUGUUGCGAUCCCAAAAAUAAAGUGGAGACCUACCUCUCAGAGAAAAACGCACACAUAAGAAAAGCCGACCCACUUCAGUACUGGGAAGAACAUCCUAAUCUGUUUCCCUCUAUGGCUGCUGUUGCGAUCCCAGUGUGCCCCCUGUAGCUCUGUGGACAGUUUUGGAUUUGUUUACAUCUCACCCAACCGCUCACGGCAGAUGGCUGCACCUCUCUAAGCCUGGUUCUGCCGGAGGUUUCUUCCUGUUAAAGGGAGUUUUUCUGAACACACUCUACCACCAACAAGGACAGCUCACCAGUGGGAACUGAUAGAUAAGACUGCUGAUGUGCUCUCAUCCAUUGAAGAGCUGACCAGAAACGUGAACAGAAAGACUGCACCUGAUGGGAUCCCUGCCAUAACAGAUGUGUUCUGUCCAGUGAAGGCAGUGGAGAAGCCCUACACUGAUCUUGAAACUGUGCCACGCUAGUAGAGACCGGCUACAAGGAUGGGCAGCUGUUUUCGCAAAGUCAGCCAACCACUUGCUUCCAAAUGACCCUUAUCCAGAAGUAUCCGUGAGUGCCUCAUCA